rnacentral:rRNA from 1 species
CCUACGGUGGGCAGCCGUGAGGAAUAUUGGUCAAUGGACGAGAGUCUGAACCCGCCAAGUAGCGUGAAGGAUGACUGCCCUAUGGGUUGUAAACUUCUUUUAUAUGGGAAUAAAACAGGUUAUGCAUACCCUCUUGUAUUUACCAUAUGAAUAAGGAUCGGAUAACUCCGUGCCAUCAGCCGCGCGAAUACGGAGGAUCCGAGCGUUAUCCGGAUUUAUUGUGUUUAAAGGGAGCUUAGGUGGAUUGUUAAGUCAGUUGUGAAAGUUUGCGGCUCAACGGUAAAAUUGCAGUUGAAACUGGCAGUCUUGAGUACAGUAGAGGUGGGCGGAAUUCGUGGUGUAGCGGUGAAAUGCUUAGAUAUCACGAAGAACCCCGAUUGCGAAGGCAGCUUACUAAACUGUGACUGACAUUGAGGCUCGAAAGUGUGGGUAUCAAACAGGAUUAGAUACCCCAGUAGUC